GCGUUACGUCACGGACUGGCUGAUAGCUUGCUCCCUGCAGAUCAGCGGCGGACGGGUGAGUACACGUGGGUAACCUGCCUGUAAGACUGGGAUAACUCCGGGAAACCGGGGCUAAUACCGGAUAACACCUACCCCCGCAUGGGGGAAGGUUGAAAGGUGGCUUCGGCUAUCACUUACAGAUGGACCCGCGGCGCAUUAGCUAGUUGGUGAGGUAACGGCUCACCAAGGCGACGAUGCGUAGCCGACCUGAGAGGGGAUCAAACUACUCUGGGACUGAGACACGGCCCAAACUCAUACGGGAGGCAGCAGUUAGGGAAUCUUUCCGCAAUGGACGAAAGUCUGACGGAGCAACGCCGCGUGAAGUGAAGAAGGUUUUCGGAUCGUAAAACUCUGUUGGUUAGGGAAGAAACAAGUGCCCGUUCGAAUAGGGUGGCACCUUGAGGGUACCUAACCAGAAAGCCACGGCUAACUACGUGCCAGCAGCCGCGGUAAUACGUAGGUGGCAAGCGUUGUCCGGAAAUUAUUGGGCGUAAAGCGCGCCGCCAGGUGGUUCUUAAGUCUGAUGUGAAAGCCCACGGCCUCAACCGUGGAGGGUCAUUGGAAACUGGGGAACUUGAGUGCAAGAAGAGGAAAGUGGAAUUCCAAGUGUAGCGGUGAAAUGCGUAGAUAUUUGGAGGAACACCAGUGGCGAAGGCGACUUCUCUGGUCUGUAACUGACACUGAGGCGCGAAAGCGUGGGGAGCAAACAGGAUUAGAUACCCUGGUAGUCCACGCCGUAAACGAUGAGUGCUAAGUGUUAGAGGGUUCCGCCCUUUUAGUGCUGCAGCUAACGCAUUAAGCACUCCCGCCUUGGGAGUACGCUCGCAGACUGAAAACUCAAAAGUAAUGACGGGGCCCGCCACAUGCGGUGGAGCAUGUGUUUAAUUCGAGCAACGCGAAGACUUACCAGUCUGACAUCUC
rnacentral:rRNA from 1 species